GAUGAACGCUAGCGGCAGGCCUAAUACAUGCAAGUCGAACGGGAUCUGAGGGUAGCUUGCUACCCGAUUUGAGAGUGGCGCACGGGUGCGUAACGCGUGAGCAACCUACCCAUAUCAGGGGGAUAGCCCGGAGAAAUUCGGAUUAAUACCGCAUAAGAAUGUAUUAACACAUGUUAAAGCAUUUAAAUAUUUAUAGGAUAUGGAUGGGCUCGCGUGACAUUAGCUAGUUGGUGAGGUAACGGCUCACCAAGGCGACGAUGUCUAGGGGCUCUGAGAGGAGAAUCCCCCACACUGGUACUGAGACACGGACCAGACUCCUACGGGAGGCAGCAGUAAGGAAUAUUGGUCAAUGGGCGGAAGCCUGAACCAGCCAUGCCGCGUGCAGGACGACUGCCCUAUGGGUUGUAAACUGCUUUUGUCGAGGAAUAAACCUAUCCACGUGUAGCUAGUUGAACGUACUCGAAGAAUAAGGAUCGGCUAACUCCGUGCCAGCAGCCGCCGUAA
rnacentral:rRNA from 1 species